rnacentral:rRNA from 1 species
CUUUACUGUAACCUGAGAUUGAAUUUGAGCUUUUUUUGCGCAGUCUAGGUGGGAGGCGUUGAGUCUUUUUUUUAGGAAAAAGAAGAGCCGUUCGUGAGAGACCACCCUUAAAAAGCUAGGAUUCUAAGAAUGUUCCUUGAAACAGGACAUUUAACAGUCUUUGGUGGGCAGUUUGACUGGGGCGGUCAUCUCUUAAAAGGUAACAGAGAUGUACAAAGGUUCCUUCAGGCUGGACGGAAAUCAGUCGUAGAGUGUAAAGGCAUAAGGGAGCUUGACUGUAAGACUUACAAGUCAAACAGAGGCGAAAGCCGGUCUUAGUGAUCCGACGGUACCAAGUGGAAGGGCCGUCGCUAAACGGAUAAAAGUUA